UUCCUGGUGGUCUAGUAGUUAGGAUUUGGUGCUCUCAUCACCGUGGCUUGGGUUCCAUUCCUGGUUAGGGAA